UAAUACUUGGACCAGGAGAAGCCCAAUGGAUUUGGAUUCUCUCAAGAUGAUCUUCACGGUCUUGGGGCAUACAGGAGCCCAAUGUAACAGCACAAAUCCAUAUCCCACCACAUCCUCUUGCAUUAGUUUUCCUCAGAACCAACCGCCUAAACAGGAUUCAAGGGAAAGCAAUUUAUUCUGCAAUGAUCAGAGGAAACUCUGUAGCGAAGUAGGGAAGUGAAACAAACAAGAGGAGGCCACCAUGUUACCACUGUGGCCAGCUGGAGCUCAAUCCUGCUUGGGGGAACUGGCAGGGAUAUCCUGAUGAUCCUGAUGAAAGGUGGAGGGAGCUGGAAUCAUUAUUUACUAACUCCCAUUCAUCAAGGGACAAGAGAGCUGAAAGCAUUAUCUGCCAGUUUCCAUCCAUCAAAGACUGUGGGUUGUUCUCAGAAAACUAGUUUCCUAGCACCUACAUUCAGUCCCUGCUCAUGAGCUGCACAUGGUUCUGUGGCCGGAAAAAAAGAAAAGAAAAAGAAAAGGCAAAGAAUCUUAUUUGCUGGUAAUUGGAAGUCAUCCCUCUUGCACCUGAAUGUGUAAGGGACUCUUACACCAGUAUGCACCAGAUACGCAGAGACACACAGCAUAGCAUCAUGAAGGUCUUUCUCAGGCACACCUGAAUAUUACCUUAUUCUCCUCAAGGAUUGCCUUCUUUCCUAUAUUGUCUUUACUGCCCUCUCUGACCCUCUCACAUUUUAAUACCUUCAACAGAGGUAUGCUCUGAAGGUGGACAUAGUAGACAGUGACCCACUGCACCCAGUGAACAAGGCAAAAAUACGGGUUUGCCAAACCAUCAGGCUACGUGUGUGCUCUCUGAUCAAGGCACCUUAGAUGCAGAUGAUUUCCAGAAAGUCUGGAAGAAAUUGCAUGAAGGUGUAGAUGUGCGGAAGCAGAUCUGAAGACAAAGGUGCUAGCAGAUACUCAUCGACAACAGUGAUUCUCAAUUGGAGGAGAUUUUACAGACUAUCCAACACUUGCCCCACCCUCCGCCACCGAGGAUAUUUGGCAAUAGCUGGAAAUAUUUGGUUUUGCUUGUCACAGCUGUGGGAGAAGUGCUACUGGCAUCAGGUACUUGGAGGCCAGGAAUGCUGCUAAACAUUCUACAAGGCACAAGACAAUGCACAUAAUCAUAGUCAUCCUCAAAGUUCCAUUGUGAUGCUGUUGGGAAACCCUGAUCUAAAGAAACAUCAGGCCGGGCGCGGUGGCUCACGCCUGUAUGGGAGGCCGAGGCGGGUGGAUCACGAGGUCAGGAGAUCGAGACCACGGUGAAACCCCGUCUCUACUAAAAAUACAAAAAAAAUUAGCCGGGCGCGGUGGCGGGCGCCUGUAGCCCCAGCUACUCGGGAGGCUGAGCCAGGAGAAUGGCGUGAACCCGGGAGGCAGAGCUUGCAGUGAGCCGAGAUCGCUCCACGGCACUCCAGCUUGGGCAACAGAGCGAGACUCCAUCUUAAAAAAAAAAAAAAAAAGAAACAUCAGUGGAAGAGGAAGAAACUGCAGGUACAGGAAUAAACUUACGUGAUCCUCAUUUCAAGGAGAAGAAGGAGAAGUUGAAGAAGGAGGAGAAGGAGAAGGAUGAGAAGAAAAACAAGAAGAGGAAGGAGAAGGAGGAGGAAAAUGAGAAGGAGAAGAAGAGAAGGAACAGCAGCAGUUGCAGGAGGAGGAGAAAGAGGAGGAGGAGGAGGAGGGAGUGUGCAGAAGCUGGGGGGGAUUCCAAUGUUGGAAGCAUUUUUAGCGUACAACAACAUCCAAGUGGAUUACUAUGAAUGCCUAGACCUCUAUGGCAAACAGUCUCUUCGUGGCCUGUGCUGAGGACUACAUCAGUCUCCUGCAAUUAUCAUCUACACUGAAAAACAAAGAGGACAGAGGCGAAGCUAGUGGCCCUCACCAUCCCCUGCAAGCUGAUUGCUUCUUACUGCAAGCACUUGAGCAUCUUCCUGAGAGCUUUCUUGGGCAAUGGGAACCAGGCUUGGCCCAAUCACAGGCAGGUGAAGUAUGAGGAAAUGGAGAAGGCAUUGUCCAAGGAGCAGUCUUCAACCUUCACCCCGCAAGUGAGACAACUCUGAAUAAGAUGUGUUCUACACUCUCUUCCAAAGGUCCCCAGUUGGAUGGAGCUCUAGCUGCUCAUGUGAUAAGCUGCCUAUUAAUACACAAAAGAUUGCCUUUCCUCCUUGCUCUGUCUUCCUGCUGCUCUCCUACUAAUGUUUCCUGGGAUUGCCUCCAAAUAAACCACUUGAACUCA
rnacentral:lncRNA from 1 species